rnacentral:lncRNA from 1 species
AGUGAAAGGAAGUUUUCUCUGUUUUGCAUGACUACAAGUGUCACAUACAUGAUGAGUAUCAACAGUAAUAAAAGAGUAUUGUUUGCUUAAGACAUGUAAUCUUUCAAGUAAAGGGUGUUCUAGUCUAUAAUGCCAUAGUAUUUUGUCUGUGAUAUUACAAUUAAUAAAAGGAGCAAAACAAUGCGGUUUAGAACGGCUAGAAGCAGGCAAGGUAGUGACAAGGUACAAGCCAACGGUGACUUUA